rnacentral:lncRNA from 1 species
UUUUAGUAAGCUCUUUGGGCAAAAAAAUGUGUCAGCUAGUACACCGAAAAAGCUAUCAUAUAGUUCCAAGAAAAACUAUUAUAUUGGUUAGUCGGGUAAGUCUUGCUGAGUACCCCGUACUCAGGGUUAUCCCUUGUGGCUAUUUUCAUAGGCACCGCAGGAGUCCACCGAGGAGGAAGCCCCGAAAAACUAGGGUAUUGUUACGAGUCUCGCAAUACCCUUAGAAGAAAACUUUAAUGCUCAUCUUCCACCUGAACCUGUUUAUGUUUAAUCCCUAGAAUCUCUUUCUAACCUGCACUGUUAAGUUUAUUUCAAACUACGUCCUGUAAUAACUCGUACC